AUACUUACCUGGCAGGGGAGAUACCAUGAUCACAAAGGUGGUUUUCCCAGGGCGAGGCUUAUCCAUUGCACUCUGGAUGUGCUGACCUCUGCGAUUUCCCCAAAUGUGGGAAACUUGACUGCAUAAUUUGUGGUAGUGGGGGACUGCGUUAAUGCUCUCCCCUG
ensembl:snRNA U1 U1 spliceosomal RNA